rnacentral:tRNA from 1 species
GGGGGCACACUCAGAAGGCCCCUUCCCCUCUGUUUCCCUCUACGGAAUGACGUAGCGCGGACCCGCUCAUAACGGUCUGGUUGCAGGUUCGAGUCCUGCCGGGCCCACCA